AAUCCAUAGGUUAAUGAGGCGAACCGGGGGAACUGAAACAUCUAAGUACCCCGAGGAAAAGAAAUCAACCGAGAUUCCCCCAGUAGCGGCGAGCGAACGGGGAGGAGCCCAGAGCCUGAAUCAGCAUGUGUGUUAGUGGAAGCGUCUGGAAAGGCGCGCGAUACAGGGUGACAGCCCCGUACACAAAAGCGCAUGUGCUGUGAGCUCGAUGAGUAGGGCGGGACACGUGGUAUCCUGUCUGAAUAUGGGGGGACCAUCCUCCAAGGCUAAAUACUCCUGACUGACCGAUAGUGAACCAGUACCGUGAGGGAAAGGCGAAAAGAACCCCGGCGAGGGGAGUGAAAAAGAACCUGAAACCGUGUACGUACAAGCAGUGGGAGCACCCUUUGGGUGUGACUGCGUACCUUUUGUAUAAUGGGUCAGCGACUUAUAUUCUGUAGCAAGGUUAACCGAAUAGGGGAGCCGGAGGGAAACCGAGUCUUAAUUGGGCGUUAAGUUGCAGGGUAUAGACCCGAAACCCGGUGAUCUAGCCAUGGGCAGGUUGAAGGUUGGGUAACACUAACUGGAGGACCGAACCGACUAAUGUUGAAAAAUUAGCGGAUGACCUGUGGCUGGGGGUGAAAGGCCAAUCAAACCGGGAGAUAGCUGGUUCUCCCCGAAAGCUAUUUAGGUAGCGCCUCGUGAAUUCAUCUCCGGGGGUAGAGCACUGUUUCGGCUAGGGGGCCAUCCCGGCUUACCAACCCGAUGCAAACUGCGAAUACCGGAGAAUGUUAUCACGGGAGACACACGGCGGGUGCUAACGUCCGUCGUGAAGAGGGAAACAACCCAGACCGCCAGCUAAGGUCCCAAAGUCAUGGUUAAGUGGGAAACGAUGUGGGAAGGCCCAGACAGCCAGGAUGUUGGCUUAGAAGCAGCCAUCAUUUAAAGAAAGCGUAAUAGCUCACUGGUCGAGUCGGCCUGCGCGGAAGAUGUAACGGGGCUAAACCAUGCACCGAAGCUGCGGCAGCGACACUGUGUGUUGUUGGGUAGGGGAGCGUUCUGUAAGCCUGUGAAGGUGUGUCGUGAGGCAUGCUGGAGGUAUCAGAAGUGCGAAUGCUGACAUAAGUAACGAUAAAGCGGGUGAAAAGCCCGCUCGCCGGAAGACCAAGGGUUCCUGUCCAACGUUAAUCGGGGCAGGGUGAGUCGACCCCUAAGGCGAGGCCGAAAGGCGUAGUCGAUGGGAAACGGGUUAAUAUUCCCGUACUUGGUGUUACUGCGAAGGGGGGACGGAGAAGGCUAUGUUGGCCGGG
rnacentral:rRNA from 1 species